UUCUAGGGUUUUAAGAUCAAAACCCAACGUUCUCAAUUUUUCUUUCUCGGGAAAAUUUCCCCUAAUAUUCCCGAGAAAAAAAAAAAAAAAUCCAACGGAGAAAUAAGAAAUGCCGACGUACAAAAUCAGAGGCAUCGAUGUGGAUUUUCCAUUCGAGGCCUACGAUUCUCAGCUUGUUUACAUGGAAAAAGUCAUUCAGUCUCUCCAACAAAAAUGCAAUGCACUGUUGGAGAGCCCUACAGGAACUGGGAAAACAUUGUGUCUUCUCUGCGCCACACUUGCUUGGAGGAAGAGUUUGGGGGGUUUCUCAACUGGUAUGGGAGUAAGGAGCAGUCAGAGUGAAGGUAGCAUAUCAGAUGUUUCUCCGUCACAGGGUGAUCGCUCAAAACUUCCCACCAUAGUUUAUGCUUCACGCACUCACAGCCAGAUCCGGCAAGUUAUUCAAGAAUUAAAGAGAACCUGUUACAGGCCCAAAAUGGUAGUAUUAGGAUCUCGUGAACAAUUGUGCAUUCAUGAUAAAGUGAGUUUGCUUCGUGGAAAAACACAAACAAAUGCCUGCCGUAUGCUGUGUAGAAAGCGUGGAAAGCGUACUUGUGCCCAUCAUUCUCAAGUUGCUGACUACAUGAAGAAAAAUCCUCAUCUUGGAGAUGAACCUAUUGACAUUGAGGAUUUGGUCAAUGUUGGAAGAAGAUUUGGGCCGUGUCCUUAUUAUGUAUCACGAGAGCUCCACAAGGUUGCUGAUAUAUUAUUUGCACCUUAUAACUAUCUUAUUGAUCGGAAUCUUCGAAAAAUUUUAGGUGUUGAUUGGAACAACAGCAUUCUCAUAUUUGAUGAAGCUCACAAUCUGGAAAGCUUAUGUGCUGAUGCAGCCUCUUUUGACUUGCCUUCUUGGCUUCUAACAGCUUGUAUUUCUGAAGCAAAAAACUGUAUUGACCUUUCUAUAGCAAGGAGGGAAGAAUCAAAUGACAAAUCACAGAAUCCAGAUAAUUUUGCCAUCCUUAAAGCACUUCUUUUAAAGCUUGAGAAGCGGAUUGCUGAAGUGCCCAUUCAGUCCAAAGAAAUGGGAUUUACUAGGCCUGGGCCUUACAUCUAUGAACUACUUGCUGAUCUAAAUGUCACGCAUGAAACUACCUCUAUGCUCACUAAUAUAAUUGAUGAUGCUGCUGUGCUUCUUGAGGAAGAAAACCAUAACAACGCAAAGGGGACUGUUUGCAGGCUGGAAAGCAUUAAUGAAAUUCUUCAUAUAAUUUUUAGAGAUAAGGGCAAUGCUCAUGCAAAAUUUUAUCGUGUUCAUGUGCAGGAAGUUGAAGCAAGUGCUGCAGAUGGCUUAAAGGGUAAGGCAUCAAGGACUCUCAGCUGGUGGUGUUUCAAUCCAGGAAUUGCCUUGGAAGAAUUCCACAAGUUGGAUGUGGGCUCAAUCAUAUUGACAUCUGGGACGUUGUCUCCCAUGGAUUCAUUUGCGCAGGAACUGAAAUUAGAAUUUCCUGUUCGGUUGGAAAAUCCUCACGUCAUCACCCCAAGUCAGAUAUGGGCUGGAGUUGUAUCAGCUGGCCCUUCUAGUUGCUCUUUCAAUUCUUCUUACCGGAACCGUGAUUCUGUAGAAUACAAGCAAGAGCUUGGAAAUGCUAUUGUAAACUUUGCUCGAAUUGUACCCGAUGGACUGCUUGUAUUCUUUUCGUCUUACUACAUUAUGGACCAAUGCAUUGGGUGCUGGAAGAAUAUGAGUCAUGCAAAUUCAACUACAAUAUGGGAAAGAAUCUGCAAACAUAAGAAACCUGUGAUAGAACCUAGACAGUCUUCAAUGUUUUCUUUGUCAAUUGAGGACUAUAUGGCUAAGUUGAAGGACACCUCAGCUUCUGGUGCAAUUUUUUUUGCUGUAUGUCGUGGGAAGGUAAGUGAAGGACUAGAUUUUGCUGACCAGGCUGGAAGAGCUGUAGUCAUCACUGGUAUGCCAUUUGCUACGAUGAAUGAUCCUAAGGUUCGUUUAAAACGUGAGUACUUGGAUCAAGAGGGACAAUCCCAAAGCAAAGUGUGUAAGGUUCUAACCGGAGAAGAUUGGUAUAAUCAACAAGCAUCACGAGCUGUGAAUCAGGCUGUUGGACGUGUAAUCCGUCAUCGUCAUGAUUAUGGAGCUAUUAUUUUCUGUGAUGAAAGGUUUGCACACCCAUAUCGACAAUCCCAAAUAUCACUUUGGAUACAGCCUCACAUCAAGUGUUACUCCAAAUUUGGGGAUGUAGUUUUUACAUUGAACCGGUUUUUUCGGGAUGCAGGAGCUCGAGGUUCUACUCAUCUAAGGUUAAUACAAACAGAAAAUAGAGGAGAAACAAAAGAGACGCAACCUGAGCAGCCUCCAGAAAUUUUUUUCACCCUGGCAACACAAAUGAGUCAAGAUUCUUCUGUAAAGGCAUUGUCUCCCAUACGUGACACUAAAAGAGGCAAUAGUUCAACUUCAAGCCAAUUGGGAGAAGUUCUUCCUGCUAAUCGCUCAUCUCUUUCUCCCUUUAAGAGUCAAUCUUUAAUUUUGAAGCGUCCAAGUGAUCUUAUCAGCAAUGAGAAAAAAAAUUUGAUGCCUGGAAGGAAAAAUAUGCAACAUCAUGAAAUAACUGAUAUGACUGGUUAUUCUAUAUUAAAUGAAAAACCAAGCAAAGAAAAAAUUAUAGAACCUUGUUCUGCUAGGAAGCGUAAAUUAUUAAACAUAGAAAAUGCUGUGAUGCAACAAAUUGAAGUUUCUCCUGAUCAGUCAUUUGGUGCAAAGAAGUUUGAAACAACUGGCCCUUUGGGUAUCAAUUCAGUUAAUCUUGAGAAUUUGCAAAAUUCUGAUGGCAUCAGCACACAAAAUACUCAAGUUGGUUCAUCAGUACUGCAUAAAGAUCAAGGAACUUCUCAAGAGAAGCAAGCUCAGUUUUUCAGGCAGAAGAACAAAGGUAUUCAGUCCAACCCUCUGCCCAGUGGUAACGAGGAAUCCAGGGGAUCUGCUUUUCUGAUUCAGGUUAAAGAGAAGCUUAGUGCUGAAGAAUAUAAAAAAUUUGUGGAGUUUAUGAAGGCACUUAAGUCUAAAGUAAUGAAGAUAAGUCAAGUUUUACAAUCCAUUGUGAGAUUAUUCUCUGGACCAGAGAGGCUUCAUCUUCUUGAAAGGUUUAAGGACUAUCUUCCUGCAAAGUAUCAUUCUCUGUAUGAGCAGCAUCUUGAAACAAAUAAUGACAAACUUUGACGUGCAGAAUUGCUCUCUGUAUUUUAUCCAAGUUUUUAACUUUUGUCCAAUCUCAAGUAAGCACAUUGGGUUUCUAGAACAAUAUAUGAGAGGGAUUGGGUAUUAGCAGGAUAAAGGUUGAGUUUUUCAAUCUUGAAAAUUCUGGUUUCUCUUGAAGGGGAAAGGUUUAAUAUUUUGCUUUCCACGUAUACGGUGCAGCUCAAAUAAUCAGAUAACCUUAAUAUCCCCAUUGUAAAUUUGGCUUGGAAAGCCAAGAGAUCCGUUUGAUGCAGACGAAUUGUGAGGAAAAGUAUACUUGUGUAAGCAACUCUUUUUGUAUCGUGGUGAGUCCAAUCCUAUGCUUUGUAUGGCUUUAAAAGAAAGUCUGUAAGCUAAAAAAAUGCAUGGGAAAAAGGCAACCUCAACUAUUGCUUGUGGGCAUCCACAAAGUAGUGCAAGAGAGUUUGGAUCGCCAUGAAUUGUUAGAAGAAAGGAAUUGAGUAACAUAUGCAUGAUUAUACUAGCAAUAUUUCUCAUCGAGAAACGGUUUUCUUUUGGUAUUAUUAUUACUAGUUGCUAAUCUGUGCGAUGCACAGGAAAAUCUUAUGAAAGUAUGGUUUGUACAUU